GGAAUAAGCCGCUGAUUGUGAAGAGGCUGGGCGGAAGGAAGUGCUGCUGCCGCCGCACACUGCUGCGGACGGACGAUCGGACGCUGUCAGGCCGAACAAACGCACCGAUCUAACGGAGAGAAAAUGCUGCAGCAUCCUUUGUUUUCUGACUCUGGAGCUCAGUAAUAAAUCCCGCUGACAACCUGCAGCACCUAGAGGACAAACAAGAGGCCCCAAAUCCAACAGCAGAGAUAAAGCAGAAGAUUUGAAGAAGCCAAAGAGCUGAACGAAAACAAAGCCCCAAACAGGCCAAUGCUGUUUGCAAGUUGGCAGGCUGAAGGUAGAGCUGAUCUCAGAAUGGCCAGGCAGUAGGGCGUUUGUUUCCUAACCUCUGCUGGCCCCUGGCUGAAUAGGAGCCACACCACGGAGCCAUCACAUCGUUUGAGCCUCAAACUUUUCUGCCGCUGCACAUCCUCCGUUCCAUCACUCUGUUGCCCAUCUUAGAUUAUUGAAGCUGUUUAUUCCUCAUAGCCAAUAAAGAUUAGAGAUCAUCUGUCAGUUAGCUAAUGAAUUUAUAUGACUACAGUAGUCGGCCACUUCUCCCAUUCUUCUUCGGUAACUCUCGCUUUAUCUCAGAAGGAUGUGCAGGGUGAGGGGUUUCAUCUGUUUUUAGAUUUUCUUUUGUCUCCACCUGGUGUCUUCAUGUUUUGGGGGUUCCUUAGUGACCCCACCCUCUGUCAACCACCCCGCACAUAUUGCCAUCACGGCCGGCCACCCCAAUCGCCUUGUUGCCAUGCCGACAGAGACACUGGCUCCCUCCCUGCCAGGUAGCAAGUCUGCUGGUCCCACCACGCCCUUCGGAUCCACUGUACCUCUUCGCAUCCUCAAUAAGGGCCCUGAAUACUUCAGGAGGCAGGCGGAACCUAACCCAAAUCGCUUGAGUGCAGUUGAAAGACUAGAAGCUGACAAAGCAAAGUAUGUCAAGAGCCAAGAGGUCAUCAACGCCAAGCAAGAACCAGUCAAACCACCUGUCCUGGCCAAGCCCACCAUUGACCCCUCCAAUCUGUCAAAGAAAAGCCCUGGUAUUGGUGGAGGAGGAAACGGAGCUGGGAUACCUUUUAAAGCAUCCAAUAACAAUGCUAAGUCAGACACAUGUGCAUCCAGCUGUGGCACCAGCAAACGGGAGAAUUUAAACCUGGAGAUCUUAAAAAAUCUGCUUAACUCAUCAUCAUCCUCGGGAGCAGCUUCUGAAGGACUAUCAAGUGGAGCUAAAAGUGCGGUAUUCAUGAGGUCCUCAGCCAGAAUGACCAGGAGCUGGACACCGCUGGGGAUACCGCUAACAUACAGAUCCACAAUGACCCUCAAUGAGCAACCUUCAGACUCAGUUCCCAGUCCAAGCACAUCACACUCCCUCAGAUCUUUCUCUCACUCCCUAAAGGUUCCCCCAGUGGCCAGAGGGGGGCGUCGCAGUCCUCAACAAGCAGGAAACCUCAACCUUAGCAAACGAGUCCAGGAUGAGAGAGGAUGUGAAGGAGGAGUUGUCCAGCGUUCUCAUUCUCCACUGCCACCUCUCCUCACCUCACACUCCUCAUCCGACCUACUACGGCUGUGCAAUGGUAAACCACUGCGCACAGCUCAGUCGAGUAGCUCCUCAGCUCCGCCCCUUCCUCCCAAGCCCCACCCCACCUCUCUCCCUCCUGCACUAUCCUUAUCACUGCCACGCCCGCGGCCCCCCUUCACCCCUACGCCUUGUGACAACCCGACCCCGCAGUCAUUACCUUUUGAUUUCGGAGACCCUGCCAGUGCAUCUGCUGAGCUGAACAUUGGUCUUGAGCAGGGUUCAAAUGUGACUCGUCGCUCUUCACUGCAUAGAUCCAAGUCAGACCUGUCGGACCGGUACGCCCGGGCUGGAGCUGAUGUGGAACGCUUUUUUAAUUACUGCGGACUUGACCCUGAGGAACUGGAGGCAGUGGGUCCUGAGAACUUUGCACGCGCCAACUCGGACAUCAUCAGCCUGAACUUUCGAUCGGCUUCUAUGAUCUCCUCUGACUGUGACCAGUCACGGCGAUCUUCCAACGAUGGAAUAUCAGAAGAGGAGGAGGGAGAGGAAGAGGAUGAUGCAGGGGAACGUGUCCCCUAUGGCAUCUCGGCUGUGGAACGAAAUGCAAGGGUCAUUAAAUGGCUGUAUAGCAUUAAACAAGCAAGGGAAACACAGAAGGUCUCCCAUGUUUAGGUUAAAGAUUCAUGAGGACUGGAGAUUCUGUAAACUGAAGACAAUCUCACCCAUGGCUCUAAACCAAUGUGGUUGUUUAUAGCCUAGUUUUAAGGCUGAAAAGAAAAUAAUUUUAGUUUUAAGAAUGAAGGACAAAAGAAGUGAUCUAACAGGUCACAUAAGCGGUAUGAAGAGAUGAAGAAUAACUCUCCAAAAUUUAGAACAAACCGAACAGAACAACCCAAACAUGGACUGAUGUAGGGAGAAAGACUCAGGCCUUUACUGUUUCUCUCUGGAAACUUGACUGACAGUAUCUCAGUUGGCUUAAGCACCACAAGCAAAAGGGUGAUGCAAUGCACUAGGGAACGGAUCCACACAGUCAAAAGUGUUUAAGACACAGAAGACACUUUGGCUGUCAUCCAUGAGUGUGACUGAUAUUUCAACAAAGCGCAGCCUGGUUUCUGAUCCGUUCUGCCAGUUAAAGCUUCAUUCAGUUUUCUUUCCACACUUAAAAAAUUGCCUUCAGUUUAAAACAUAAAACUGGGAUCAUGAGACAUCAGCACUGAUAAAGCAUAGCAACCCUGGUUGUAAUGGUGCCUGUAGAAGCAGUUUCAAAUUGUCAAAUUGUUCCAAUUGAUUUUUUUUUCCCUUAAGCACCAAAAACUCCUUUAUGUUCAAAUUGUUCCCACAACAUUGUCAUAUUGUGCUGUCCUGCUAUUCUACCAGAGGUAUUUAACAUGUCCAUCUCUGCUUGACUUCAUUAAGCAUCAUUCACAUAUGUGAAGAUUUUAUAAUUAAUACUUCCCACAGAGUAUUUUUUUACACAAACCUGUGAAUGAAGUAAGAAAUGCGAUCUUGUUUCCAAUACAUGCAGAAUGAAGUCUCCUUAGUGAGUUAAGAAGCAGAAAGCAAGUCCAGACUGAAAAUACUCUGUCUACCCUGCCUUCCACCAGUGAUGCUAACUAUCAACAUCUAGGAACUGAGAGGCAGCUUGAGAAUGCAGCAAUUUCUCCUGACAGAUUGAUAACAGUAAGUGGUUCCGCUGCUGUAUUACGCCCAUUGUUUUGUAUACAUGAAGCUAUUUGGUAUAUCCUCCUGACUACAAUUCAAAUGUCUUGAAAGUAGGCGACAUUUGUACACUGAACUAUGCCUCAUACAUUUGAACCCCACUGACAUCCGAAUUCAAUGUCCUCCAAAGUAGACAUUUGUAUUCUUCCCUUUUGACUUUGUUCAAAGAACAAUGCUAGAUUUUCCUGUCAGAAGCAAAUAGAACUACGGCUAGACCCUCAAUUUAACUCAAUUUAAUUUCAAAGGUACAAAGUUGGAAAUUCUCAUGGAUUUUCUCUAACCCAGGGUGUUGUGUAAAAUAUUUGCCUAAAUUUAUACAAACAUCUCCAGAUUAGGUUAAAGGUCUCUUGGCUACAUGCCUUCUUUUUCAUCAAGAAGCUUCUAGAAUAAUUCAGACUGGGUACUUGGCGACUCUGUAACAUGAUGCUACCACCACCGUGCUUGACGGGGGUAAAGUGCUUUUAUAGUUGAGACACCUUAACUGUGUUGAACGUAAUUCUGGUCCUUUGAUCAUUACAUCUUCCCCCAGAAGAAAUGUUCUCCCUCCAUGUGCAUCACUCUAGUUUCAGUCUACAUGAAGGUGCUUAUUUUGGAGCAGGGUCUCCUUUCUUGGUCCUGUCCUCUCAGUUCACCGUAGUGUAAAACUGACUUGACUGUGGACAGGGACACAGGUCUCCAGCCGUUUUGUAGUUCAUGCCCGGCCUUCGUCUUGUGGUGGUUUCUGGGUUGUUACUGAGCAUCUUAACCAGUUUUCUAUCAUCUGAUGACUUCUGAUUAACUUGGUCUUACACACAGUUGUUUGAACUGAUUAUCUGACUACAAGUAUUCAGCGAUGGCUUCAGAAGACUCCCCAACUUAUGGAAAUCUAGAAUUGUCCUUCUUGGAAAUUCUUGGACUAGUUAUUUGGACUUUCCCAUUGUUCUGAGUACUGGUCAAACAAAUCAUUUUCACGCUGCAAAGAGAAACUAUGUGCUGCAAUCAGCUAUGGUCAUUAACCAAAGGUUAACAGAUCUUCGCCUUUUCCAGCAUGAUUUUUUUUUCUUUAUGUAUGUGGGUUCUCUCCUCUAUAGAGGACACACCUCAAAAAUCCACUUUUUUCAGAAAAAGGUUUGCUGUAUCCUCAAUAACUUCCAAACAAUUUGGGUGGGAAAAAAACAAUGUGAAUGUGCCAGAUUUUUUUCAGCUGGUAGUCAGGAGGAUAUGUGACUGCUUAUAUGAACCAUUGUUAAAUAAAUACAACUGCGUCUCAUAAAAUGUGAAUAUUGUUAAAA